rnacentral:rRNA from 1 species
GCUUGGGAAUUUGCCUUGAGGUGGGGACGAACAGUUGGAAACGACUGCUAAUACCGCAUAUUGUCUACGGACUAAAGGGGGCGUUCGGCUCUCGCCUUUAGAGAAGCCCAAGUGGGAUUAGGUAGUUGGUAGGGUAAAGCCUACCAAGCCGACGAUCCCUAGCUGGUCUGAGAGGAUGAUCAGCCACACUGGAACUGAGACACGGUCCAGACUCCUACGGGAGGCAGCAGUGGGAAUAUUGGACAAUGGGCGCAAGCCUGAUCCAGCCAUGCCGCGUGAGUGAUGAAGGCCCUAGGGUUG